UCAUUUAGGCAAUUGCGAAUCUAGCUGCAUUGUGACUGGUCCAUCAUUAACCAAACUGACCUAUAAAAUAAGAAAAAUAGAAAGUGAAAAUCUAGUAAGUGAUCUCUACAGAAUAGGUCAAAAACGAUAACUCCAACAACAAACAUAACACAAGGAAAACUGGACAAGGUAAGCUCACCUUCAUCUUUGUUCCAAAGAUACCAUCUACACACAGCCCAACAAAAGGAAAGGAAGUCAACACAAAAACUGAUGCAGGGUCGUUUGGCCUUUAUCUAUUUGCGAUCAGAUCCUUUAAGGCAAUUGAGUUUCUACAGCACUCAUUUUAUUUGAGUGGUGUUGAGAGAGAGGUAGAAGAACUCACUUGAUCGAAUUCCCAGAAGAAAGCCUCAGAUAUAAAAUAAAAAAAAAAAAAAAAGAAAAGAAAAGAAAAAUUACCUGUUUCACCACUGCUACUCCACUGUCUAUUAUUAAGAUUGUUUUGUAAGGAGUAGUGUUAGUUGAGUUAGUUACAAAUUCAGUUAGAGGUUGGUGAGAGUUUGUUAGGUAGUUCUCCUUCCUUGAAUCAUGUGUAUAAAUACUUGUAUUCCUCUGUUUUGAAUUAAUGAAAAAUUAGUUCAUGUUUUUCAUUCUCUUUCAAUCUCUCUCUCCAGAAGCUAAAAUAGUAUCGGAGCCAACCGAUUGGUGAGCUCUUGCUUUUGCUUUUCUUCUUCUUUUUUGUUCUCUCUGCUCCUCCAUGGCUCGAGGAGGAGGAACUCAAACUUGAAGUAACAACAAUGGAGCAGCUGAACACUCUAAUCUUUUUGCAGCUCUCGAUGAAAGUAACAAAUUUCCCACCAUUAAUCCACGUAGCCCUUACUUCCUCUCCAGUGGUGACAAUGCUUCUUCAUCUCUGGUUCCUAAGAUACGUAUUGGUGCGGAUAAUUACAGUUCAUGGCGAAGGUGAAUGAUGGUGGCAUUGGCGAAAAACAAGAUCAAGUUUAUUAAUAGAAAGAUUUUCCAGAACCUGAUAAAGAUGAUGAGGACUAUGACUCAUGGAUCAUAUGCAACAGUUUGGUAAUAUCAUGAAUUUUCCCUUACAAUUGCUGAUAGUAUCACGUACAUGAAAAAUGCCUCACGAAUCUGAUUUAAAUUGCAAGAAAGAUUCCACCGAAAGAAUGCUCCUAGAAUUUUUAAAGUGAAAAGAUCAAUGCAGAAGUUGACUCAGGGAUCUAAUGAUGUGACAUCAUACUACACUCGACUUAAAGGAUUGUGGGAUUUGCUGCAAAAAUACAGGCCACAACCUGUUUGUACCUGUGAAGCAAUGAAAAUCAUUCAAGAGUACCAAUAUGAAGACAAGGUUCUUGAUUGGACUCAAUGAAUCUUAUCUCAAGACUAGAUCUCAGAUCCUACUUCAAGAUCUUUUUCCUAAUGUCAAUAAGGCUUUUGCUUCCAUAAUCCUGGAGAAAAAACAGAGAGGAAUCAUCAUUCCUUAAGCUGAAAACAACCAACCUUCAAAUGACAAUUCCAAUCAAUUUGCUGGAAGUACACAUGACAAUCGUGGCAACAACAGAUCUGAUAGUCACGUUCACAAUCGUUGUGAUCGAUCUGACAAUCGACCUACUUGUUCUCAUUGUGGUAUUCCUAGCUACACCAUUGCGAAAUGCUGUAGAAUUCAUGAAUAUUCCUUGGUCAUCAUUUAAAUGGCAGAUUUCCAAGGGAAACUCUUAAUCAACCUAUCAAUCAGCAAGGCUGAUCCUCUUGACAAUUUCACAACAGGGAGUGAAAUGAAGGAAGGCACUAAUGAAGAACAUGACCUGGCUGCACAGUGUCAAAGGUUGAUGGCAAUGCUAGCACAGAAAAUACAAGGAACAUCUUCCCAAACUCAGCAAUCUGAUCAGCCUAUUGUAUCAAAUGUAUCUAGUAAGGCAUCUCUUAUUCUCAAAUCUAGUAGGAUCAUCGACACUAGUGCCACAUAUCAUGUGUGCUCCAAUCUUUCCUUAUUUUAUUCCAUAUAGAAUAACCACAAAAUUACAUCAGUAAGUUUGCCAAAUGAAACUAACACUAAAGUUUCUUUUGUUGGAAAUGUUAAGUUUCGUAAUAUCAUACUUACUAAUGUUCUGUGUGUACCUGACUUCCAACAUAAUUUAAUUUCUGUGUGUGCCUUGUCUAAUUCAGGUAACUACUCUUUUCUUUCUCUUCCUCACAAAUACAUUGUUCAGGAUAUCACCAAGAAUCAAGUGAUUGGGAUGGGUGAAAGGAUUGACAAUCUUUACUAUAUGUCUGAGCAAGAAUCUCUUAUUGUUUGUUCUAUGUAUAAUUCCAAUAUAAGUGAUGAGAAUUUGUAGCUUUAUAGACUUGGUCAUGCCUCUUGUGUAAAGAACCAUUCCUUAAAUAAAAGCUUACAAUUUCAAUA